rnacentral:rRNA from 1 species
CCUACGGGCGGCUGCAGUGAGGAAUAUUGGUCAAUGGGCGGAAGCCUGAACCAGCCAAGUAGCGUGCAGGAUGACGGCCCUACGGGUUGUAAACCGCUUUUGCACGGGGAUAACACCCUCCACUUGUGGAGGUCUGCAGGUACCGUGCGAAUAAGGGCCGGCUAAUUCCGUGCCAGCAGCCGCGGUAAUACGGAAGGCCCGAGCGUUAUCCGGAUUCAUUGGGCUUAAAGGGAGCGUAGGCGGGCGUUCAAGUCAGCUGUAAAAUCGCGCGGCUCAACCGCGCCCCGCAGUUGAAACUGGACGCCUUGAGUUCACAACAGGCAGGCGGAAUUCGUGGUGUAGCGGUGAAAUGCAUAGAUAUCACGAGGAACCCCGAUUGCGAAGGCAGCCUGCCGGGGUGCGACUGACGCUGAGGCUCGAAGGUGCGGGUAUCAAACAGGAUUAGAUACCCGGGUAGUC